AAAACCCCAAAAAAUCACGGCCCUCUAUAGAAGAGAGAGAGAGAGGGAAGAAAAACCCUUGAAACUUCAAUAAUUUACAGAAAAAUCACCUUUUCUAUGGAUUUUUAAGCUUUUUGGGGUUGAAUUUGAAUUGGGUUUUCUCCAAUUGUAUUGAAGAGAAGGAGAGAGGUAUAUUGCGAUUUGGAAGAUUUGUCAUUUCUUUUCUGGGAAGAUGGCGGAGAAUUUCCGUAGAUGGGAAUCGGAUCCUCUUUUUUCUGCGGCGGAAGUUGUUCAAGAUUCUGCCGACAGGAUGAUGUCCAUUUACCGAAUGUUGCUACAUGAUCAGAGUCUUCUUCAAGGUGACCCCUCAGACCCAAAGCUACUUAGUUCAGUUGAUUAUCAUAGACGUGAUCUUGCAACUGCUCUUGGAACAACUAAAUGGCAGUUGGAGGAUUUCGAGAGGGCUGUCAAUUCGUCUGCUUUAUUGGAUAGGUCUGGUUUGAGGGAAGAUGCUAUAUCUAGGUAUAAGCAACUUGUCAGGGCAAUAAGGGAGCAAAUCAUUUUGGUGGAGAAAAGCAUUGAGAAUUCUUCCGCUGGAGAUCUCGACCAAAACAUGCCAUGGGUGAACUUAAACGAACAGGAUAGAGAUGGGUUUGCUUUAUUUCUUUCUGGAGCCGAUUCGACAGACCAUCCUGUUCAUUACGAUUCGGAAAGUAGUAUCAUGAGAAGGUUCCUUGAUUCAGCUGCCGCCUCAAGUUAUGAUGAGAAGAGCGAUGAAAUUGUGGAGCUCAAAAUUGAAGAACCGGAACACUCGAAGAUGAAUGGCAUUGAGCAUUUGGACCAAGCAUUUGAUUCUUUCAAGGAUAAUAAGUUGAGGAAAGUGGGAUCGCGUUCCGCACGGUUGGGUUUUGAAUCGUCAGUCUCCCUCCAAGUGUUAACUGGAGACAGAGAGUGCGAAAGUUCAUUCACCAGUUCUGGGGGCCGUGAUCUGGAAGUUGGGACUUCCAAGAACAGGUCAAAAGGGUCAUGCAGCAGGCUUGAUAUUUUUGGAUUCCUGAACAAGUUCUGGUUAGCAUCUGGGAGUAAGAUGGCUAGGAGUUUUACAAAGAGGAGAAAGGAUGGAGAGGUGAUGGAUGACUGUAUAUUCGAUGUGGAAAGAAGUCAUUUAACUUCAGCUCUCGAUGCGUCGCAAGCUGAUCAGGGUAAACCUACUAGGUUGGGGUUUUCUUUUGACGGAUCGAGAAACGCCAUGCAAUCAUCUAGCCACCUUGGAGCUUUCCGGAGGAUAUUUCAAAGGCUUCAAUAUAUUGUCCGAUACAGCCGAGUUCCCUUGCGGUUAGCAUUGGUGAUAUUUGCUUCACUAAUACUUUUAGGGCAUGCUGUAGUGGUACUGGUACCACCGUAAGCUUACUGUGGUACUGGGUUGAUGUUGGAUCUACAUGAUGUAUGAAGGCCAUCCAACCCAUCCAUCAGGCCUCUUAUUUUUUCGCGCCGCUUGAAAAAUGAUGCAUUUUUUCCUGCAAAUUUGUGGGUUUUGGCCAGUCGAGUUGCUGAGCUAUCUAACAAAUUUUGUGCGAGAUGAAGCCAUUGUCCCAAGCAUAAGACCUCUGUCUCCAACAGUAGUCCUAUCUGAUAAAAAGGAAAAUGGAAAAGGGGAAGGGGAAAAAUAACAGAAUAGAUGGCAACUGAAAAUGGGCUAUUUGAUGGUUUGUAGCUGUGUGGUGAUUUGCUUCUGGGCAUAUGCAUGUUGUUGACCUGGUGUUGGAGGUGGGUCCCGCUGUAAGUAUUCUUCGACAGAUUCUAAAGGUCUCUAGUGUUUAUUUGUAUUGGCAGUUGAGUGAUUCUUGAUGACCAUGCCAUACCCUUUGUAUUUUUAUUCUUCUUUGGAAAUGCCUUCUGUUUUGUGAUCUUUUUGGAAGCUUGAGAUUCAAAUCUCUCUUCCCUUUUUCCA